rnacentral:rRNA from 1 species
UCUAGCAGGGAAACAUUUGGAAACAAAUGCUAAAUACCGUAUAAUAAUUAAAACCGCAUGGUUUUAGUUAAAAGAUGGUCUUGCUAUCACUAAGAGAUGGUCCCGCGGUGUAUUAGUUAGUUGGUGAGGUAGUGGCUCACCAAGACAAUGAUACAUAGCCGAGUUGAGAGACUGACCGGCCACAAUGGGACUGAGACACGGCCCAUACUCCUACGGGAGGCAGCAGUAGGGAAUCUUCCACAAUGGACGAAAGUCUGAUGGAGCAACGCCGCGUGUGUGAUGAAGGGUUUCGGCUCGUAAAACACUGUUGUAAGAGAAGAAUGACAUUGAGAGUAACUGUUCAAUGUGUGACGGUAUCUUACCAGAAAGGAACGGCUAAAUACGUG